rnacentral:lncRNA from 11 species
UGCAGGCAGUAUUAUCUGGGGCCUUGUACAGAGAGAGGGAGAAAGGAGAGAGAGGUGGAGGAUGAAGUGGACUGCAGCAAUUAUUCCUACUAUAUGGCCAGCUUUUUUAUCUUUUCUUGCAGCAAUAACUCCCCCUCUUUUUUUUUAAUACUGUGGGACAGAGACGAAAGACUGGUAACGUGUGGAAUGUAGCAUGGAUCAGCUUUUUCUCAAUGGUCUCGGGAUGACGAUAAUAUCUCAUAGUACAGGUACAGCAAGAGAAGGAGAAGAAGAAAGCCAUCAGCAAGCUCUCAUCUCUCCCAGUUUGUCAUGUGACGGAGCCGGUCGCAAAAGCGUUCUAACAACCAGUCAGGGUUAAUGGCCCGGCAUCGAGUGAAAGCAUGGAGGAUAACGAAAAAGUGCUAAUAUUGAACAAAUUAGAACGGGAAGAUCAGAUUGUGGAGCAGAAACUGGAGGCAGAGGGAGGACCCGCAAGCUUUGACAGAUGGUACUCAGCGCUUGACUCCUGCUGGGCUCAGCAGGGCCCACGGUUUAGGACUGUCAAAAAGAUUCUGGCCUACGAAGUGGAUAACAAAGUGUGGGCUUUCCUAUAG